rnacentral:rRNA from 1 species
GCUGGCGGCAGGCUUAACACAUGCAAGUCGAGCGGUAACAGGAGAGAGCUUGCUUUCUCGCUGACGAGCGGCGGACGGGUGAGUAAUGCCUGGGAAAUUGCCCUGAUGUGGGGGAUAACCAUUGGAAACGAUGGCUAAUACCGCAUAGAAGCUACGGCUUAAAGAGGGGGACCUUCGGGCCUCUCGCGUCAGGAUAUGCCCAGGUGGGAUUAGCUAGUUGGUGGGGUAAAGGCUCACCAAGGCAACGAUCUCUAGCUGGUCUGGGAGGAUGAUCAGCCACACUGGAACUGAGACACGGUCCAGACUCCUACGGGAGGCAGCAGUGGGGAAUAUUGCACAAUGGGCGCAAGCCUGAUGCAGCCAUGCCGCGUGUAUGAGGAAGGCCUUCGGGUUGUAAAGUACUUACAGUGGUGAGGAAGGUUAUGUAUUUAAUAGAUGCAUAGCUUGACGUUAGCCACAGAAGAAGCACCGGCUAACUCCGUGCCAGCAGCCGCGGUAAUACGGAGGGUGCGAGCGUUAAUCGGAAUUACUGGGCGUAAAGCGCACGCAGGUGGUCUGUUAAGUCAGAUGUGAAAGCCCGGGGCUUAACCUCGGAAUAGCAUUUGAAACUGUCAGACUAGAGUACUGUAGAGGGGGGUAGAAUUUCAGGUGUAGCGGUGAAAUGCGUAGAGAUCUGAAGGAAUACCGGUGGCGAAGGCGGCCCCCUGGACAGAUACUGACACUCAGAUGCGAAAGCGUGGGGAGCAAACAGGAUUAGAUACCCUGGUAGUCCACGCCGUAAACGAUGUCUACUUGGAGGUUGUGGCCUUGAGCCGUGGCUUUCGGAGCUAACGCGUUAAGUAGACCGCCUGGGGAGUACGGUCGCAAGUUUAAAACUCAAAUGAAUUGACGGGGGCCCGCACAAGCGGUGGAGCAUGUGGUUUAAUUCGAUGCAACGCGAAGAACCUUACCUACUCUUGACAUCUACAGAAGCUUGCGGAGACGCGAGUGUGCCUUCGGGAACUGUAGACAGGUGCUGCAUGGCUGUCGUCAGCUCGUGUUGUGAAAUGUUGGGUUAAGUCCCGCAACGAGCGCAACCCUUAUCCCUGUUUGCCAGCACGUAAUGGUGGGAACUCCAGGGAGACUGCCGGUGAUAAACCGGAGGAAGGGGGGACGACGUCAAGUCAUCAUGGCCCUUACGAGUAGGGCUACACACGUGCUACAAUGGCACAUACAGAGGGCAGCCAACUUGCAAAAGUGAGCGAAUCCCAAAAAGUGUGUCGUAGUCCGGAUCGGAGUCUGCAACUCGACUCCGUGAAGUCGGAAUCGCUAGUAAUCGUGGAUCAGAAUGCCACGGUGAAUACGUUCCCGGGCCUUGUACACACCGCCC